rnacentral:lncRNA from 1 species
AACGCUUAAACCACAGGUGCGUUGCUCUCUCAUCCUUCAUCGUGUCCCCCGCCACUGACGCUUUCCUGUCCAGCCCUCAAAAGCAUCUCGACGAUGAUCUGCUCGCCGGUACGCCGGACUUGAGUGGGUCGAGGACCUUGAGACCGUCACAAUGGGCUGGAGAACAAGAAGACCUUGGUUGCGAAUGAUGGGACUUGGGUGCGGCGCGUUCGUGCUUUGUUGAUAGGGCUUAUGUCUUAGCAGUUGGCCCUUCGUGGUCACUGUAUGAGCUGCGUCGCAAUGUCUCGUUGUACACACUUCUUUGCAAUUGACUAGAUUUAUU